GCGCUUGUAGCUCAGCGGUUAGAGCAGGGGUCUCAUAAACCCUUGGUCACUGGUUCGAUUCCAGUCAGGCGCA
rnacentral:tRNA from 1 species